GAAGCCGACCUUUUCUUCUCUCAUCUCCCUCUCACCUGCAAACCGAAAAAGGAAGAAGCUCAAAAGUUUUGGUUCUAAGCAACAUCACCCCGAAGAUCGGGAAGAACUUUGGUGAACUUCUACAUAAGAACUUUGCUCCAAGGUUGAAGGCUCUACUGGGCUGAGCUCGCUCAACAUGCAGCUAAGGAGAGAGCUCGAUUUAUACACAUUGCUGGUAGG